AAAAGACAAUAAAAAAAAACAGGAAAGGUUAAAGGGUCAUCCAAGGGAUCAACUUUCGUCGAAGAAGUGUAAAGGACGCGGGUCAAACGGGCAAAAUGGUUUACUGUUUUUCUCCUACAUGUGGCCAUACGUCGGAGGGCAACACUAGCAAGUUCUUCGCUUUUCCACGACGAGUACAAGAGAUGGAUUCGACUCAUAAGAUUUCUUUUCUUCUGAGAAGAAAGAAAAAAGCGAAGCGAUGGAUAAUGUCUCCAUUUUGAAUCGAAUGGGCGCUUGUUUGGAACUGAGAUUUUUAGCACCAUGGAAACGUGACGUCACCACUUAAGGACUCUAU